rnacentral:rRNA from 1 species
AUUGAACGCUGGCGGCAGGCCUAACACAUGCAAGUCGAGCGGAGCGGCGGACGGGUGCGUGAUGCCUAGGUAUCUGCCUGGUAGUGGGGGAUAACGUUCGGAACCGGGCGCUAAUACCGCAUACUAGCAGUUGCGGCUAGGUCGGAUUAGCUAGUGGGUGGGGUAAAGGCCUACCAAGGCGACGAUCCGUACCUGGUCUGAGAGGAUGAUCAGUCACACUGGAACUGAGACACGGUCCAGACUCCUACGGGAGGCAGCAGUGGGGAAUAUUGGACAAUGGGCGAAAGCCUGAUGCAGCCAUGCCGCGUGUGUGAAGAAGGUCUUCGGAUUGUAAAGCACUUUAAGUUGGGAGGCGUUACCAACAGAAUAAGCACCGGCUAACUUCGUGCCAGCAGCCGCGGUAAUAC